rnacentral:rRNA from 1 species
UACAGAGGUCUCAAGCGUUGUUCGGAUUCAUUGGGCGUAAAGGGUGCGUAGGCGGCGCGGUAAGUCGGGUGUGAAAUCUCGGGGCUUAACUCCGAAACUGCAUUCGAUACUGCCGUGCUUGAGGACUGGAGAGGAGAAUGGAAUUCCCGGUGUAGCGGUGAAAUGCGCAGAUAUCAGGAGGAACACCGGAGUGGCGAAGGCGGAUCUCUGGGCCGUAACUGACGCUGAGGAGCGAAAGCUGGGGAGCGAACAGG